rnacentral:rRNA from 1 species
UACGGGGGGGGCUAGCGUUGCUCGGAAUCGCUGGGCGUAAAGGGUGCGUAGGCGGGGCUUUAAGUCAGGGGGGAAAUCCUGGAGCUCAACUCCAGAACUGCCUUCGAUACUGGAGAGCUCGAGUCCGGGAGAGGUGAGUGGAACUGCGAGUGUAGAGGUGAAAUUCGUAGAUAUUCGCAAGAACACCAGUGGCGAAGGCGGCUCACUGGCCCGGUACUGACGCUGAGGUGCGAAAGCGUGGGGAGCAAACAGG